UCUACAGUGCACGUGUCUCCAGUGUGGCUUGGAGGCUGGAGACGCGGCCCUGUUGGAGU
ensembl:miRNA MIR139 microRNA 139